CCAGUGCUACAACCGCACAGAAUAGGUGAUAAAACUACUAGUUAGUACCUAAAUGGCGAGUCUGAGUAAUUGA
rfam:Bacilli bacterium VT-13-104 contig005, whole genome shotgun sequence.